UUUUUUUCACUUGCAAUUUUUUUUCCUGAGCUGCCAACCCAGCUAUUGAACCGCAGGCCUGCUGCUCUUAGUGCUCCACUAAGAACUGAACCUCUUCCCACCAGACAUGCUUUCUUCCCCAGUCGCCUGCAUUGAGGAGCGCACAGCCGCACCGAGCCCUCAGCCUCACUGGUGCUGGCCCCUCAGGCCCUGCUUCUCUUCCUCAUCCACUCACCUGGCGGUGACAUUCCUGUUUCCUGUUCCUUCCAUGGCACCAAGCAUUUCUACUGUCCACGUUGGUCCGAGUCUUCCCUAGACUGGAAGCUCCCUGGCGGCAAGAACUGUCUUAUCUCUGUGUCCUGUCGACUAGAAUGUACCUGUGCAACAUACUUAAUAAAAGCUUGUUGGAUAAAAA